rnacentral:rRNA from 1 species
AUGACGACGGUGUCCUGCCCGGCCGGAGGAGAAGCAGAUGAGUCACCUUUGGGUUUUCUUUCUUGUAAUCUGGUCUGGUUCGAGUGUGUGUUGAGGCAAAUUAAAGCCAAGCACGUCUAUUUCAGUUGCCUCCUCCCGUUUGCUCUUCUUCUCGGACAACGGCAGCGUAUCGCCGCGCGCCUCGCUUUUCAGCUGCUCCAUCCCUGCUGCCGGCACCACCUUCAGUUGCUCUGUCCGUACAGUCGGCGCAACCAUCUUCUCCACUGGCAUACUGUCAACAAUGGUGUGGACCUACUCCUAGUGCACAAAAAACAACAUAGAACGGGGAGAAGGCUGAGGUGGUGGUGUUGGUGCGCCAGCGAGAUUAGCGGACAAGGCCGCAACAAGAUUUGUCUCCCGGAGGUUUGUGGACAAGCUCCUGGAUGGUGGCAUGCCCAGCCACCGGUCGUGUGUGGCGUUGGCGCGCGACCGAUGCCGCCAAUGCCACGCGCCGGCCGGCUCUGGCUCCUGCUCUGCAUCGCCAUUGUUGUGGUGGUGGUGGGCAUGGAAGGGCACACGCGUGGCGUGUGGCCGGGUAGGGUAGCGGGCCGGCCGUUCCCGGAGAACGCGACGCGGGCGGAGGAGCUGGAGUGGUUGUUCAUGCAGUGGGUGCGCUACGUGGGCGGCCUCAAGCACAGUACGUACCACCACGUGCAGCUGGCCCGCGUGUUCCCGUCCUACUCGCUCGUCGUCGACAAAGACCCCGCGGCUGGCAACUUCACGUCCGUCCAGGCUGCCGUCGACUCGCUCCCGACCAUCAACCUCGUCCGCGUUAUUCAUGAAUUCCGGCACCGGAGCUCAGUCCCUCCCCCUCCCCCCUCGCUCAAGGGUUCAGCCGCCGCUAGGGUUCCAGGCGCCACGACCCCUCCUCCCUCGACGACGGGCGGCCUCCUCGGAGCCCUGCCGGAGCCGGCGAGCGCGGCCCCAACGCCCCCAUGCAGCCGGCCGAAGCAGUCCUCGGAGGUAGCAGAGACCAUCAUAGGCAAGGAGGCGAUGCGCCGCUGCGCGCCGAUCGCGACGCAGGGCGUGGACACCCUCGUGUGCGUAGGAAUUGGAAAGGUGGGCCACGAGCUUCGCGCCGGUUUCCGCCUAGCCGGAAUACUGUUCCGCGUCCCUCGAUCUCUUUUUGCUCCGCCUCCGACGCUGCCGCCGGAGACCACUAAUGGCCCGUCGCGAGCCUUGAAGAUCUCGACUCGGCGACAUGCGCAGAUGAACAAGAGGUAUGGGAGGGCGGAGACCGAUCAAGAGAUGUGUCUUUUCUUGGCUAUCCGGAUUUAUUGCAUCAUUCCUUCCUGUGAUGCCUUUCCCCCAUCCAUCUCCUAUGCUAUGCCUGGAGUUAGCACAGUCUAUGAGUCAGUCCUGGAACUCCUUCUUUCUAUGUAUAGACAUAAGGAGGUUCUGCUUUCUAUUUAUAGGACGAGGAGGAAGCCAUCAAAUUGCACUUAUGCACUUGGUGCCCUUGGUGGCUUCCGCCCCGACGACGACGACGACGUCAGAGGGCUUAGACGUCACGAAUUUGUCCUCCCGGGACGCGUGAUCAUGCAAUGUAGCACCUUCAGUGCAGCCUUCCAGUCGGCUGUGUCACCGUCGUGUGUGUUGGGCAUGGGCGAGCAUGGUGAACAUGGGUCAAAGGCAGACGUGGCACGCGUGCCGGACACUGGGGCGGGGCAGCCAGCUGUCUUACUGGUCCGUUGGCAAGCGUCUCGGCUUCCUGCCGGCGAGGAGCACGGGAGGAAGAGGCGGCACUGA